GGCCGCUUCCAGCCGCCGGAGCCGCCCCGCGCUGCCCCGGGCUUAGGGGCGCAGCCUCCUCCGCCGGCCCCGCUCGAGCCCCGCGGCUGCGCUGCUGCCGGGUGUCGGUUGGGACGCCUCCACGCGCUUCCUCUUCCCCUGCGCUCGCUCGCAGUGAACCAGCCCCGCCCGGGGAAGGCGACGGCAGCGGGGAGCCGGAGCGGAGGAAACGGCCGGGCUGGGCGCCCGGGGACGCUCCGCAGCCGUUGCCCGCAGCACGGAGCUGCCUUGAAACCUGUUUCUCUGCGUCUCUGGAGAGGUGGAGGGAAGCGCUGGGGCUGCUGAGGAGCCGGGGAACGAGCGAAGUAAAGCAGAGCAGGGAGCAGCCCUCCCAAAGCUGAAUCCGUAGGGUUGGAAAAGACCUUUAAGAUCGUCCAGUCCUCCAGCUUGAAGGUCUCCGAAGUCCAUCCUGCUGCACGCCGAAGUUUCCAGCUCCUCCUUGCUCAGGAGUUGGUUUGGGGGGGUUAAAGCCCGGUUCUGCAGGGAGGGUUGGAAUGGAGGAGCCUGGUUGUGCAACACGUUCCCAUCCGGCGCUGCUCCCCUCCUCCGGGGCUGCUGCCGCCUUUGUGUGCCUUCAAACUUGACAGAGACGUGGAGCUGAGGCGAUUGCCAGCACUUUAACACAAGAUGAGGAAGCAAGUCCCCUCUGUUUAGCUUUCAGACCCCCUCAGGAAGGUGUCGGUGUUGCAAGGGCUUCUGUGCUCCCUGAUGCCUUGGCUUCAUGAAGGACUUGGGGAUGUGGGCAGGAGGAGACACAGCAGGCCUGGUGCUGGGCAGUGAGUGCCUCCCUGUGCUUAGGGGCCCUGUAAUCACUGGCUAAUUAAACAUCUGCUCGUCCUUUGGCCA